rnacentral:rRNA from 3 species
UAUAGUGAUUAUGGUGCGAAGGAUAUACCUGUUCCCAUUUCGAACACAGAAGUCAAGCUUCGUAACGCUGAGAGUAGUUGGGGGAUCGCCCCCUGCGAGGGUAAGACGUUGCUAUAC